GAUUUCCUGCUGAGUCAAUAAAGGAGGAAUGCAGGGAGAUGGCAGUCUGGCUUUGAUAGCCCUAAUUUACAAAGAGAGUCGUCUUUUUUGUACUUCAGCCAGAGGUUAUUGCAGCUCAGCAGAGGCACAAGUCCGCGCUGCCUUUUGGACUUAUCCCUCGGAGCCCUUCACCCAGCCCCUCCAUGUCUGUAGUCAGCAAGGUGAGUCUGUCACAUGCUAUUGCUUGUUUGGGCUAAAUUUGUGUUUAUGGAUUUUAUUCUGAAGUUCUGUUUACUUCUUUGGGAACAUCCCUUGAGCUGCUCUAGGGUGAAAGUUCAUCCUUGUGGUAUUUCUGGCUUAUUUUCCAAAGGAAACACGCAGAUGUGAUUGGGUGCUCUCGCUCUCCCUCUGGAGCUUCUGAACCCAUUUGCCUUUUCAGUGGAAUUUGUCCGAGGCGUUGAUGUUUCAAAAAUGCUACGUUCCUACGCGUUUUGUGAAAAUAAGUGGAAGGGUAGAGGCCCUCAGUGUCCUAAUGAAGGACAAAGUUAGUAAGUUCACCCCACACUAGGCAUUGGAGAAUCCACACAGGAUGUUGUCACAGGAAACAGAGCUUCAUAAUCUCGCUGCUCACAGAGCGCUGCUGCUCUGUUCCCUGCGGCGGGCCUGGGGAUAGUUCCCCCCUCCCCACCCCCCCCACCCCCCGAAAAAUAAGCAAUUCUUGCCUUUUCUGGAAAUGCAGAGCAAGCAGGGAGGUUUCUCUCUGUUACUAUGUUCUGUUUUGUACUGUUGUGAUCCUUGGGGUCUUCUUAUAAACAACCUUUGUCUUCUAUGCUUACAAACAGAUUUUUUUUCCCCUCAACUAAUUUGAAAGCUCUUAGUUCCUCAGCAAUUCAGGAGCCGCUCUGGGCCUCUCGCACCCUGCCCUCUGCAAGCGUGCACUCAGCAGCCGGCCUCAGAAACAAACCACCACUGCCCGUUUCCUGAGCGGGAAACCUCCCUGAAACAGAUUUCAAUUCUCACUCGCAAUGUGCAGGACCAGAGGGAAGAUCAGAAAGUUCAUCCUGUCGCAGCAUGUCAGUGUCGUGCUAAUGCCACAGCUAAGACAGGCUUGAACGCUUGGCUGCUGAUGAUCCAUGCUGUUUAUUUGCUUGCUCCCUGACGUGGUUUUGACCGAUGCAAAUAGCUUCCAGAUAACACCCAAGUGCUGCAGGGGCUGUAAUGAUCCCCUUAUCAAAAACUGCCUGGAAGAGUGGUCUUGUGCUCUCGCCCUCAUCCUUAUGUCU
rnacentral:lncRNA from 1 species